GCAACAGCUCAAAUUUGAAAUCUGGCGCAAGCCCGAGUUGUAAUUUGCAGAGGAUGUUUCGGGUGAAGCCACGGUCCAAGUCCCUUGGAACAGGACGUCAUAGAGGGUGAGAACCCCGUACCUGGCCGUCGGUGCCCCCCGCUGUGAAACUCCUUCGACGAGUCGAGUUGUUUGGGAAUGCAGCUCUAAAUUGGUGGUAAAUUCCAUCUAAAGCUAAAUACCGGCCAGAGACCGAUAGCGCACAAGUAGAGUGAUCGAAAGAUGAAAAGCACUUUGAAAAGAGAGUUAAAAAGUACGUGAAAUUGUUGAAAGGGAAGCGCUUGCGGCCAGACUUGCCCGCGGUUGCUCAGCCCGCCCUUUGGCGGGUGCACUCUUCCGCGGUCAGGCCAGCAUCGGUUUGGGCGGCCGGAUAAAGGCGUUGGGAACGUAGCCUCCCCUCGGGGAGGUGUUAUAGCCCGGCGCGCAAUGCGACCAGCCCGGACCGAGGUUCGCGCUCUGCUAGGAUGCUGGCGUAAUGGCCGUAAGCGGCCCGUCUUGAAACACGGACCAAGGAGUCUAACAUCUAUGCGAGUGUUUGGGUGUCAAACCCGUGCGCGUAAUGAAAGUGAACGGAGGUGGGAACCGCAAGGUGCACCAUCGACCGAUCCUGAUGUCUUCGGAAGGAUUUGAGUAAGAGCAUAGCUGUUGGGACCCGAAAGAUGGUGAACUAUGCGUGAAUAGGGUGAAGCCAGAGGAAACUCUGGUGGAGGCUCGCAGCGGUUCUGACGUGCAAAUCGAUCGUCAA
rnacentral:rRNA from 1 species